CAAAGAUCUAACGGAGAAUACUUUUACAGCAUGCAACGUUGGAUACUGGAGCGGGGAAGGAUUUCGUGCCAACGGCACUCGUACACGAGUUGUUCGGAUACUGAGCACAACGUUACACCGUUUUGUUAGGAAAGUGAAGGUGUGUCGGCGGCGUGCGUUUUUUUUGUCUUUUUCGAUCUUUUUCGAAAAAGCGCGCGCGUCGCUGGCCAUUACUG
rnacentral:rRNA from 1 species